rnacentral:rRNA from 1 species
AUUGAACGCUAGCGGCAGGCCUUACACAUGCAAGUCGAACGAGUGGCGGACGGGUGAGUAAUAUCUGGGAACCUGCCCGAUAGCGGGGGAUAACUACUGGAAACGGUGGCUAAUACCGCAUACCAUCGGAUCUGCCCAUAUCGGAUUAGCUAGUUGGUGGGGUAAAGGCUCACCAAGGCGACGAUCCCUAGCUGGUCUGAGAGGAUGACAAGCCACACUGGAACUGAGACACGGUCCAGACUCCUACGGGAGGCAGCAGUGGGGAAUAUUGGACAAUGGGCGAAAGCCUGAUGCAGCCAUCCCGCGUGUAUGAUGAAGGCCUUCGGGUUGUAAAGUACUUUCGGCGGGGAGGCGGUACUCGCAGAAGAAGCACCGGCUAACUACGUGCCAGCAGCCGCGGUAAUAC